rnacentral:rRNA from 1 species
GACCCUAAAAAGUCCUAUAAACACAAAGGUUUGGUCCUAGCCUUGAAAUCAAUUUUUACCCAAUAUACACAUGCAAGUCUCCGCACCCCUGUGAAAACGCCCUUAAUUUCCCCCCUAGGAACAAGGAGCUGGUAUCAGGCACAAAAAUUAGCCCAAGACACCUAGCUAUGCCACACCCCCACGGGUUUUCAGCAGUGAUUAAUAUUGAACAUAAGCGAUAGCUUGAUUCAGUCAGGGUAAAAAGAGCCGGCAAAUCUGGUGCCAGCCGCCGCGGUUACACCAUGUGGCUCAAAUUGUGUUUUUCGGCGUAAAGCGUGAUUUAAGAAAACACUAAACUAGAGUUAAACUUAAAUUAAGCUGUGAUAAGCUUGUCAUUUAGGAAAUCCAAAAACGAAAGUUGCUCUAACUCAACCAACUUGAACUCACGAAAGCUAGGAACACAAACUGGGAUUAGAUACCCCACUAUGCCUAGUCAUAAACCUUAAACUACUACCAAAUCGCCAGGGGACUACGAGCAAAGCUUAAAACCCAAAGGACUUGACGGUACCCCAUAUCCCC